UCCUUGGAGUGUAAGACCAGACCGAAAUUAGCUAAUUGCGAAAUCGAUACACUAUGAAGAGGAAA
rnacentral:sRNA from 1 species